rfam:Prevotella sp. oral taxon 302 str. F0323 genomic scaffold supercont1.7, whole genome shotgun sequence.
GCCGAUAUAGCUCAGCUGGUAGAGCGACUCAUUCGUAAUGAGUAGGUCGCCGGUUCGAGUCCGGCUCUCGGCU